GGCCUCGCUCAGUAGGCAGAUCAUUGGACUAGUAUUCCAAAGGUUGCGGGUUCAAUUCCCACCGUGGUCA